UCCAGACUCCUACGGGAGGCAGCAGUGAGGAAUAUUGGUCAAUGGGCGGGAGCCUGAACCAGCCAAGCCGCGUGAAGGAAGAAGGCGCCAGGCGUCGUAAACUUCUUUUGUCGGGGAACAAAGGGCGCCACGCGUGGCGUUGUGAGUGUACCCGAAGAAAAAGCAUCGGCUAACUCCGUGCCAGCAGCCGCGGUAAUACGGAGGAUGCGAGCGUUAUCCGGAUUUAUUGGGUUUAAAGGGUGCGCAGGCGGAGGUGCAAGUCAGUGGUCAAAUUGCGGGGCUCAACCCCGUACUGCCGUUGAAACUGCAUCCCUUGAGUGCGCGAGAAGUAUGCGGAAUGCGUGGUGUAGCGGUGAAAUGCAUAGAUAUCACGCAGAACUCCGAUUGCGAAGGCAGCAUACCGGCGCGCAACUGACGCUCAUGCACGAAAGCGUGGGUAUCGAACAGGAUUAGAUACCCCAGUA
rnacentral:rRNA from 1 species